GCCCGCAUAGUAUAAUGGUAGAACACGUCCUUGGUAAGGACGAGACGGCAGUCCGAUUCUGCCUGCGGGCACCA
rnacentral:tRNA from 1 species